rnacentral:rRNA from 7 species
AAAGAAACCAACAGGGAUUGCCCUAGUAACGGCGAGUGAAGCGGCAACAGCUCAAAUUUGAAAUCUGGCCCUCGGGUCCGAGUUGUAAUUUGUAGAGGAUGCUUUUGGUGAGGUGCCUUCCGAGUUCCCUGGAACGGGACGCCAUAGAGGGUGAGAGCCCCGUCUGGUUGGACACCGAGCCUCUGUAAAGCUCCUUCGACGAGUCGAGUAGUUUGGGAAUGCUGCUCUAAAUGGGAGGUAUAUGUCUUCUAAAGCUAAAUACCGGCCAGAGACCGAUAGCGCACAAGUAGAGUGAUCGAAAGAUGAAAAGCACUUUGAAAAGAGAGUUAAAAAGUACGUGAAAUUGUUGAAAGGGAAGCGCUUAUGACCAGACUUGGGCUUGGUUGAUCAUCCUGGGUUCUCCCUGGUGCACUCUUCCAGUUCAGGCCAGCAUCAGUUCGCUGCGGGGGAUAAAAGUUUUGGGAAUGUGGCUCCUCCGGGAGUGUUAUAGCCCAUUUCAUAAUACCCUGCUCCGGACUGAGGUUCGCGCAUCUGCAAGGAUGCUGGCGUAAUGGUCAUCAGCGACCCGUCUUGAAACACGGACCAAGGAGUCGUCUUCGUAUGCGAGUGUUCGGGUGUUAAACCCCUACGCGUAAUGAAAGUGAACGCAGGUGAGAGCUUCGGCGCAUCAUCGACCGAUCCUGAUGUUCUCGGAUGGAUUUGAGUAAGAGCAUACGGGGCCGGACCCGAAAGAAGGUGAACUAUGCCUGUAUAGGGUGAAGCCAGAGGAAACUCUGGUGGAGGCUCGCAGCGGUUCUGACGUGCAAAUCGAUCGUCAAAUAUGGGCAUGGGGGCGAAAGACUAAUCGAACCUUCUAGUAGCUGGUU